UACGGGGGGAGCAAGCGUUGUUCGGAUUUACUGGGCGUAAAGAGCGCGCAGGCGGUCGUUCAAGUCGAGUGUGAAAGCCCCCGGCUCAACUGGGGAGGGUCACUCGAUACUGAUCGACUUGAAGGCAGGAGAGGGAAGCGGAAUUCCCGGUGUAGUGGUGAAAUGCGUAGAUAUCGGGAGGAACACCAGUGGCGAAGGCGGCUUCCUGGCCUGUUCUUGACGCUGAGGCGCGAAAGCUAGGGGAGCAAACGGG
rnacentral:rRNA from 1 species